CCUACGGGGUGCUGCAGUGGGGAAUAUUGCACAAUGGGGGAAACCCUGAUGCAGCGACGCCGCGUGAGUGAAGAAGUAAUUCGUUAUGUAAAGCUCUAUCAGCAGGGAAGAAACAGACGGUACCUGAGUAAGAAGCCCCGGCUAACUACGUGCCAGCAGCCGCGGUAAUACGUAGGGGGCAAGCGUUAUCCGGAUUUACUGGGGGUAAAGGGAGCGUAGACGGCAGCGCAAGUCUGGAGUGAAAUGCCGGGGCCCAACCCCGGAACUGCUUUGGAAACUGUGCAGCUGGAGUGCAGGAGAGGUAAGCGGAAUUCCUAGGGUAGCGGUGAAAUGCGUAGAUAUUAGGAGGAACACCAGUGGCGAAGGCGGCUUACUGGACUGUAACUGACGUUGAGGCUCGAAAGCGUGGGGAGCAAACAGGAUUAGAUACCCGAGUAGUC
rnacentral:rRNA from 1 species